GACGAACGCUGGCGGCGUGCUUAACACAUGCAAGUCGAACGAAAAGGCCCUGCUUUUGUGGGGUGCUCGAGUGGCGAACGGGUGAGUAACACGUGAGUAACCUGCCCUUGACUUUGGGAUAACUUCAGGAAACUGGGGCUAAUACCGGAUAGGAGCUCCUGCUGCAUGGUGGGGGUUGGAAAGUUUCGGCGGUUGGGGAUGGACUCGCGGCUUAUCAGCUUGUUGGUGGGGUAGUGGCUUACCAAGGCUUUGACGGGUAGCCGGCCUGAGAGGGUGACCGGCCACAUUGGGACUGAGAUACGGCCCAGACUCCAACGGGAGGCAGCAGUGGGGAAUAUUGCACAAUGGGCGGAAGCCUGAUGCAGCAACGCCGCGUGCGGGAUGACGGCCUUCGGGUUGUAAACCGCUUUCGCCUGUGACGAAGCGUGAGUGACGGUAAUGGGUAAAGAAGCACCGGCUAACUACGUG
rnacentral:rRNA from 1 species